CCGAGUUUACAACUCCCAAACCCAAUGUGAACGUUACCAAACUGUUGCCUCGGCGGGAUCUCUGCCCCGGGUGCGUCGCAGCCCCGGACCAAAGCGCCCGCCGGAGGACCAACCAAAACUCUUAUUGUAUACCCCCUCGCGGGUUUUUUUAUAAUCUGAGCCUUCUCGGCGCCUCUCGUAGGCGUUUCGAAAAUGAAUCA
rnacentral:misc_RNA from 1 species